rnacentral:pre_miRNA from 1 species
AAAGUACUCCCUCCGUCCCAAAAUUCUUGUCUUAAAUUUGUCUAGAUAUGGAUGUAUCAAGUCACAUUUUAGUAUUAGAUACAUCCGUAUCUAGACAAAUCUAAGACAAGAAAUUUGGGACAGAGGGAGUAGUUG